CUAAAUAGAUUGUCAACUAAUCAUCUAGUUUGUAUCUAAGCAAUUAGCUUGCUCACUGAAUAUUUAUGGAACUAAAUAUUUAGUUUGUUAACAAAAUACUUAGGUUGGAGCUAAUUAUUUAGUUUCUGAACUAAAUAUUUGGAUAGCUAGCUAAUAUACAGCUUUAAAAUUAUUAUAAAGAUGGCUAAGUAAAUGUUUUGUUUGAAGCUAAGUAGUUAGCUUUCUCAGUAAAUAUUUAGUUCCUAAGCCAAAUAUUUAGCUUCAACAUAGAUAUUUAGUUUGCUAACUAGGUUAAAUUUUACUAACUAAAUAUCCAGUUUGAAACUUUGAUAUUUAUAAAGGAAUAAAUAACAUGGUGAAAAUAUCACUUUGAAAAAUGUACAUAUUUUUCCUCUAAUGACAGGCGAAAUAACUCCAACUGUUGUUUACUGUCCCUCUGGGGUUAAAGGUCAACCUCGGUCCAGCUAUAUUCCUGCUCCAGCGGCGGCCAUGUUGUCUGUUGACUCUCUGCUCGCCGUGACUCAGCUCCGCCUGAGCUCUCGGUUUUCCCAGCCGUGUUUUUCUGCAGGUUUCCUCCUUCCGGUUCGGCUGCGGGUCACGUGACCGGCCGCCUGACGGCUGGCGGCUCGUUUCAUCACUUCGGAUCCGUCCCCGAUGGAAACACUCGACACUGUGCAGAAGUCUUCAACCAGGCUCAGGUUUGUGCGAGAAGCAACAAUAGUGGGGAAAAAGUUCUGGUUUGACUGAAACAGAAAAAGCUCCAGAGAUGAUGGAUGAGAAUCCGAUGACUCAGGACUUUUGCACAGAUAUGAUGCAAGAUCAGCUCAGCUUCAUGAAACUCAUCAUCAUUAAUGGAAAGUUUUUCAGCAGCUGCAGUUCGUACUUUUACAUACAUAUUUAUAUUUAAUUGGUUUAAACUCAUUUAACUUUUAUUCUUAUUUAUGUUAUUUUCAUAUUUAUAGAUGAAAUAAUGUUCAACAUUUAGUCAAAUAAUGUUCAUAAAACGAGUUAUUUUUGGAUGGUAAAACAUGAUUUUAUGUAUUUUAUUAAUGUUUUUCCGUCUAACUGGAUUGUGUUUAUUUUAGAUAUAAAUUUAAUCCUCUGUUUUCAUUUUAUAUUUCAUCGGUUUCUUGGUUCUUUUAAAGUUGUCCAUAGAUAUAUUCUGUAUUCAUAACUUGUAUUUUUAAAUAAACUCCUUCACCACUCUGUUCUGUAAAAAAAAUCUUUGUUUUGUGUGAAAUUAUCUGAGUUUAGAGGAAUUGGCAACAUUACUGAUUCUGAUUUAUUCUUGUUUUUGUGAUUAAAGUUGUGACAACAUGA